CCAAGUGCUGCUGAUGCUGCUGGACCAUAGUUUGAGACUGUACACCCCCAUCUGGACCCUAUUAAAAUGCAUCUCUUGACCAGUCACAGGAGGAGCCUGGGAUGGGGAGAAGUCCAAGGAGAGGAGAAGUCAAGACACGUUGACCUCAUAGAUACCAUAGAAAAGUGAAAAGAGGAAAGGAUAACAAAAUAUUGCUCAUUUGGCAGAGGUAACAAAAGAAAGCCAGCAGAAACUGCAUCUGGAUCCAUCUUGCAAUGCAGGGGAUGUGGGUUCGAUCGUGGGCUGGGGACCUAAGAUCCCACAUGCCAAGGAGCACCUGAACCUGCACGCUGCAUCUACUGAGACUGCAUGCCACAACUGGAGAGUCUGUGCGCAGCAACGAGUAUCUCGAGUGCUGCAACUAAGACCUGACACAGCCACAUAGACAAAUAAAUAAUUAAAAAAAGAGAAGACUCUGCAUCUGGGAGUAAGGGGAGAGCUUCCCCUUCUAUGACGGAGUGGAAGCCUAGAAUGUCAAAAUAAGGAGGGACCUCAGGGAUUGUCCUGACUCAUCUUCUCAAAGAAGAUGGACCCAAAGGUUGCUCUCUUGCACAGGACUCUUCAUCACAGCACUGCCGCUUUCUCUGCUCCAGGCUGGAAGCAGGGUGGGCAGAGCGUGUUGGGCAAUGUCGUGAGUUUCGCUGCAGCUCUCUCUGAAGCAGGGGUGACGUGACACUUUUGGAACCUCUGAGCUAGAGCAUCCCCUGGAUCGUGCUGAGACUUGGUCAGCUUGGGUGGACAGGGUGGUUGAGAGUUUUGCACUCCAACUAUGUGCUGGGGUCUAAAAGUCCAUUGUUUUAUGGAAGAGACUUGGAGAUAGGAACUCAGGGGAAGACCAAACAGAGAAGACUCCAGAUUAGGAGAAAGCCAAAACAAAGCUCAACACCAACACCACCACCAUCAACAGAAGAAAUCUCCUGAGCCAUUUUAGGCCCCAGCAGCAAGCCAAGGAAGGCAAACUGGGAUUGGGGAGCAAGAGGGUAACCCAGGAUGGUGGCUAGAUGGGGUGAGUGGCUUCAGCAGCCAGAGAUCUUCCCUUAAGCCUAGGAGGUGACACAAGCAAUUCUCCCAGGAUCACCUUGAUGAAGCAAUAAAUUAAGUUAUUAAUUCACUCCACAAAUAACGAGUGCCUACUGUGUGUUAGGCCUUUGCCAGCACUAUGAUAGGACUUCUGGAGUUGUUGACUGUUCUUGAAGAAAUCACAAAUACUACCUUAAGACCUUUAAGAAAGUAAUAAAAUGCUUCAUCUGAAUGAUCAGUUCCUCCCCCAGAAGUCUGGAGGAAUGCAGAAGUCAUCUCACUCUCCAGAGGGACCCUCCCAUCAUUG